rnacentral:rRNA from 1 species
AUGUCCCAUUAUCCUUUCGAUCGUAGUUUUCACCCUGGGAUGAGCAGGACUCUUCUGAGGCUAGCUACCGAUUUCAGGAUGGAUAAUAGGAUAGUUCCAUGGGACGAACUCACCGGUAGUGACACCAUAAUGAAUGAGUUGGCUCACCAAUUACGUAGGUCUGGGUGGCCUGAAAGGACCUAUGAGGAGGUACGUAAAGAACUUCUUAGGUUGCAUGACAGGUGGAAGAAGGUAGUGGUGCCGAAGAGUGAAACUUUCAGAAGGAUUGCAGCAAAUAAUCCAUGUUUAUGGACUGAGGAGAGAGGACGAAGAUGA